CAGCCGCCGCGGUAAUACCGAGGGUGCGAGCGUUAAUCGGAUUUACUGGGCGUAAAGCGUGCGUAGGCGGCUUCUUAAGUCGGAUGUGAAAUCCCUGAGCUUAACUUAGGAAUUGCAUUCGAUACUGGGAAGCUAGAGUAUGGGAGAGGAUGGUAGAAUUCCAGGUGUAGCGGUGAAAUGCGUAGAGAUCUGGAGGAAUACCGAUGGCGAAGGCAGCCAUCUGGCCUAAUACUGACGCUGAGGUACGAAAGCAUGGGGAGCAAACAGGAUUAGAUACCCCUGUAGUCCCUGUCUCUUAUAA
rnacentral:rRNA from 1 species